UUUUUCCAGUGUAUGCAAAAUCAAGAAAACCUUCUAUGCCAGCCAAGUAGUGUGCACUUGGUCUAGGAGAACACAGUAACUUUUUAAUAUUUGUUAGAUCCAUCUGACUAGCUGCGUUAAAGUAGCAAAUGUCAUUGUAUAUCUUAUCAUUGUAUGAUGCGAAUUAACAAGCAGAUACUAAACAAAAACGGAAACAACUAAUUUAAUAAAUCUUAUUGCAAUCACCAGUUACAGUCUGUCUUUGUAUAUCUCAAACACCGAAUAAUUUAAUAAAUCUCAUGGCACUCAGUAGAUAGUCUGUCUUUGUAUAUCUCAAUCUACAAUCUUAUGGCAAUCACUAAUUUAAUUGUAUGAUGUGAAUUAACAAGCAGAUAUUAAACAAAAAUAUAUGUACAAAUACUAUGUUUUAAUCAAUCAGCUCACCUCAAACACCGACUGCUUCAGCCUCUUAGGAGUAUCGUGAAUAAUUCACUAUGACCUGCAGGGAAAGUCAGCAUGAGGACAUCCGGAUCUUAGACCCGAUCAAUUGAUGGAUUGAUCGAGUGGAAAACCGAACCAGCGCGAAAAUAUAUUGCAGGAGAAGCACAACAGCGAGUUCUGAAGCUCAAGCCCUCAAACCUGAACCGGUUCGGUCUGACGACGAUGUGGAGAAGCAGCGCGCCGCCCACAGAUUGUGGAGAAGCAGCGUCCAAGGUAAUUGGGCGCCCGGCGAUGUCCUGCGCUCCCGCCGUCUCCUUCUCCCGUCUGUGGACUCGAGCGGGAGAUCUUGCCGCCGGUGAAGGUGUGGAUUUGAGCGCCGAGAGGAGGCGUCGUGGGUUGUGGUCUAGAGUGGCCGGUGGAGGUAUGGAAUCGAGAGGAUGCAAAGCUGGGAGUGGAAUCGAGCGGCCGCGGCACGGCCUCGCGGCGGCGCAGUCAGCGGCCAACGCUCUGGUCAACGGCGGCAGAACAGAGGACCGAGGUAAGAGAUGAGAAAGGAAUCGAUAUAUUCAUCUACGAGAUAAAAGCAUUUCUAGUAAGAACACUCAAACCCUUAAAU
rnacentral:lncRNA from 1 species